rnacentral:lncRNA from 1 species
GAUAAAAUUCGGAUAUCACGGCCCAGGCCAUGUGUAAAUUUCCAACAAUCUAUAUAUUCCAUGAAUUAUUUUUUAAUUUACAGAUAAGUUAAAACAUAGUUGUUUUUUAUUUAGUUAAAUUACCAACAUGUUUUAUCAUGUAAAGAAAGUUUCGUGUCGAAAGUUGUGAAAUCAAGGAUUUAUGAUAUAAAAUUGUAAUUGGAGGCUUUUUGUUUUCUUGUAUAGUUAGAUUCUAAAUUUGAAUUAAAGCUAGAGAUGUCCACCAGAAACCAAAUAAGCCGGAAAUAUUGUCAAAGUUUAUACCCUGUCUGAGACCUGAAUACCAUAUAAUAUCUUUCUCCGUUCGUAUUUUGUAUAUUGUAUUAUGCAUUAUUUAUUUCAUGUCACCUUUAUGUUUGUAUAUUGUAUUACUCAAGAAUAUUUUGUAAAAAUUUGUAUUAUGGGUUGCUACAAAACUAUUUUUAUUAUGUGUAUGUUUCCUUUAAGCUGUAUUACUUUUUUAAAUAAAGUAUCAUUGGUAUACACUGUUAAACUAUUGCUUUUCAAAAUAACAGUAAUGACUUUUAAAAUCAAUAUAUCAAUUAAAUGGUUUUGUACAGAGUUGAAUAUUUAUACUAUAUCUAAACUUAUUUCCUUAUAGAUAAAAGUUUAAUUAUGUAAUAAGAAAUAAAAAAAAACAUUAAUGGAAUAUAAUUAGUUGGCCUAUAGUUAUCAAAGGUACCAGGAUUAUAAUUUAGUACGCCAGACGCGCGUUUUGUCUACAUAAGACUCAUCAGUGACGCUCAUAUCAAAAUAUUUAUAAAGCCAAACAAGUGCAAAGUUGAAGAGCAUUGAGGGUCAUUCUAUUAAAUAGCCAGUAGAGCGAUGAGAAAGUCCAGUUUUGCCUUCAGUAAUACAAUUAUCUUCUAAAAGGGGUUUAUUUAUCUACUGCAGUUUUAUCAGAAGGCUUACAAGAUAUGUAUUCUAUUUUAAAUAAAAAGUCAA